UACGUAGGCAGCAAGCGUUGUUCGGAGUUACUGGGCGUAAAGGGUGCGUAGGCGGCCCUCCAAGUCGGGCGUGAAAGCCCACGGCUCAACCGUGGAAUUGCGCUCGAGACUGAAGGGCUCGAGGACGGGAGAGGAUGGUGGAAUUCCCAGUGUAGAGGUGAAAUUCGUAGAUAUUAGGAAGAACACCGGUGGCGAAGGCGGCCCACUGGAUCGGUACUGACGCUGAGGUGCGAAAGCGUGGGGAGCAAACAGG
rnacentral:rRNA from 1 species